GAUGAACGCUGGCGGCGUGCUUAAUACAUGCAAGUCGAGCGAACAGACGAGGAGCUUGCUCCUCUGACGUUAGCGGCGGACGGGUGAGUAACACGUGGAUAACCUACCUAUAAGACUGGGAUAACUUCGGGAAACCGGAGCUAAUACCGGAUAAUAUAUUGAACCGCAUGGUUCAAUAGUGAAAGACGGUUUUGCUGUCACUUAUAGAUGGAUCCGCGCCGCAUUAGCUAGUUGGUAAGGUAACGGCUUACCAAGGCAACGAUGCGUAGCCGACCUGAGCGGGUGAUCGGCCACACGGGAACGGAGACACGGUCCAGACUCCUACGGGAGGCAGCAGUAGGGAAUCUUCCGCAAUGGGCGAAAGCCUGACGGAGCAACGCCGCGUGAGUGAUGAAGGUCUUCGGAUCGUAAAACUCUGUUAUUAGGGAAGAACAAAUGUGUAAGUAACUAUGCACGUCUUGACGGUACCUAAUCAGAAAGCCACGGCUAACUACGUG
rnacentral:rRNA from 1 species